GACGAACGCUGGCGGCGUGCUUAACACAUGCAAGUCGAACGGGCCUGUCUUCUUUUUUGGGGGUGGGUUGAGUGGCGAACGGGUGAGUAUCACGUGAGUAACCUGCCCUUCGGUCCUGGAUAACCGCUUGAAAGGGCGGCUAAUACGGGGUGGUCCGGUUGGUCCGCAUGGGCUGGUCGGGAUAGAUUCACUGUUUUUGGUGUUUCGGCGGGGGAUGGGCUCGCGGCCUAUCAGCUUGUUGGUGGGGUGAUGGGCUACCAAGGCGGUGACGGGUAGCCGGGCUGAGAGGGUGGGCGGCCACACUGGGACUGAGAUACGGCCCAGACUCCUGCGGGAGGCAGCAGUGGGGGGUAUUGCACAAGGGGCGGAAGCCUGAUGCAGCGACGUCGCGUGAGGGAUGGAGGCCUUCGGGUUGUGAACCUCUGUUUCCGGUGGUGAAGGCCCUGUCCGUGUGGUGGGGUUGACGGUAGCCGGGGAUGAAGCGCCGGCUAACUACGUGC
rnacentral:rRNA from 1 species